GAUGAACGCUGGCGGUGCGCCUAAUACAUGCAAGUCGAACGAGAUCUCCACCGUGGAUUUAUUCACAUCGGAGUGACAGUGGCGGACGAGCGAGUAACACGUGAGUAGCUACACCGUACUCAGGGACAACCUGGAGAAAUCCAGGCUAAUACCGGAUGCCCUCGCAAGAGGAAAGAUUUUUCGGUACGGGAUGCGCUCGCGGCCUAUCAGCUAGUUGGUGAGGUAAUGGCUCACCAAGGCUAUGACGGGUAGCUGGUCUGAGAGGAUGAUCAGCCGCGAUGGGACUGAGACACGGCCCAUACUCCUACGGGAGGCAGCAGUAAGGAAUCUUCCGCAAUGGGCGAAAGCCUGACGGAGCGACACCGCGUGGAGGAAGACGGCCCUUUGGGUUGUAAACUCCUUUUCUGGGGGAAGAAGAUCUGACGGUACCCCAGGAAUAAGCCCCGGCUAAUUACG
rnacentral:rRNA from 1 species